rnacentral:lncRNA from 1 species
CUUUCGUCUGAGCUAUCAAAUCAGGUCCGCCGAGGUGUCAUUACUGCGUCUGGAUGGACUAAGCUGUUUGCAGAUGAUGGAUGAUUUCAGGUCGGUGUUGGUUCUGACCCAGCUUUGCAUCAGUGAAAGUGUUCCGUCUGUGCAAACCCCAGUCCUAAAAUAAACUACUUUCAGCAUUUCAUACAAAAGAAAAAUGGACCCGGAGAAACAGGUCCAGACACAAAACAGAAAGAAGUCUGUCGCCGUAGAACUUUUGCUGCUUUGAGACUUUUACGAUAAAUGUCAUUUUAAAAAACACAAAUAUAUUCUUUGGUCAUCUUUCAGUGGAGUCACCCUGAGAAUCUGGAGGCAAAAAGCUUCUGUAGCCCAAAUACUGGAAAAACCAAAGCUUCUAAGAGGGGUUUGAAUUUGCUCCUGUGGUGAUGUCACAACAGGACUGGUUUUUAUUGGCCGGCAAAAGAAACAGUCUCCCACUUCCUUCGACAUGAUUGUGGGUUUUGUUUGGUGUUACAGAGGCAACAUGUCAAAGGUCAAAGCCAGACGGACCCAGGGACAGGGUUCCAAAGGAAACUGUUGUUGUUUUUUUAUUUUCAAUGAUAAUCUGUCAGCUACAGUUUGGGCUAAUAUGCGAAUUAGCAGAAGUUUUAAUUCAAGAAUAAAACUGAAAAACUAAAACCAGUUAGGAGACAGACUUGUUAUUCUUCAGGUGAACUCACCAGUUUUGUUUUGGUGUUUUUCCACCUCUGUAUCCUGUGUGCUGGUCCACAUUAGAGCACGACAUGGGAGCGGGUUUUCACUCCUGUCCCCUCCCACUCCCAGAGAAAAAAUCCUGUCCUGUCCCACUCCUGUAGAAUGACUCCCACUCCCAUCCCACUCCCACUCAAAAUUACUCCCACUCCUGUCCCGCUCCCAUUUUAAUAAAACCAAACAUUUCCAACACGUUGCAUUUUUUUAUUUUAGGUAAAAGUGGCAGCCGAUUCAGAGCAGCAGUCGCUCCCGGCGACACCGUCAGCCGCUCCGAGUCGCUUUUUACUUCCAGUGGUGACAGGAAGUCAAACCACUGUUGUAGUUCUUUAGUGUUGCUAGCGCGGUCAAGAUUCUUGGCCCUUACUAAGAGAUGACUACAAAAAUGGACGCACCUGUUCAUCUGGUUCUUUAACACGAAUGAAAAUGAUCAUCUAUUAAUGUUGUUCCUGCUCCUGUUGCUCCCGUCCCGAUCAAGGGAUUAAUUAAAAAAUGACUCCCAUCCCCUGGGAUUCCCACGGGAAUUACGUGACCCACGAGAAGUCCACACCAUUGACUGUAUAAACUAAAAACAAUUUGGCUCCGCCUUCCGUCAUAAUACGAAUUUGAAGCCGAAUUGCUCGUCACCAGAGGGUGCUGUUCUCACAGUGGCUUCACCCAUCGAGGAGGCAGACGGCGUUCAUUCUAUAUACAGUCUAUGGUCCUCACCUUCCUCUCUCAGAUGGUAAUCAGGCAGCCAAUCAGCGCAGUGUCUCAUUACCAUAGCAACCCCGUCCACUUGGAUCACCACAUGAGUAGUGAAGUUAGAAACUGAGAGGCUGCAGAUCGUUUGCAGAGGCUUGAAUUCGUAGGAUUAUUAACUUUGAAGAAAAUUGUUUUCAAUGCAACAGAGACACUUAACAAUCAAGGUGACGAGAAAUAUGUUGUUGUCGAGAAACAUUUCAGAGGAUUGUGGGUCAGAAAAAUGACAGUUUUGAAAUGCAGACAGUCAGAGAAAGUCUGUAAAAGAGAAGGUCAGGUCCUUCACAGACUGAGUCUUUGAAGGAUGCCACCCCUGAAUUGUGACACAGCUGCUGUUUUUAAUCUUUUUGCUUUUAUUCCCAAGUGCGAUAAAGCCCAAUAUCUUUAUCUGCUGUUUCCAAGGAAACCACCCACCGCCACUCUCCUGAACCUCCUCUAUACAGCAACAUCCAUACAACCACUUAUGUUUAUUUCCAAUUAAGGUUAACCACCGUCGCUAAUCACACCAUUACCCGAAGGACUUCUGAGAGCUCCGCAAAUUGAUUUGAGAAACAAUCAUCAUGAUUGUUGAAAUGAUAAAGAUUCAUAAUCAGCUGAAGACGCUCCCUGAAAUUAGCUCUAUUGUCACUUUAAUGCUUUAUUGGCUAAUGCUAUUGUUUCAUCAGUGAUCCCGAUCAUGCAUUCAUGUCGACAUACUCCGAUCAAACCCUGGAAAGUGCUGUGGCGUAACUUUUUCAUGCUCCAGCUGUUUGCACGUGUGCAGAGAAAUAUCCAAACCCUGUUUUUCAGGACUCUUUCUCUCUGACGCGAUCCCUCAAACUUUCUCUCUGUUUGUUGUUGCAGUUCCUGGAGUGCAUGUCGAGUGGGUGUUUUGAAGGUUUUGCAGCUCGUCCCGCGGGGCACAGAGGGAGAGGUAUUCAGCACAAGAAGAAUCUAAAGACUGUCACAUAUCCGGUCCGAGUGCUGAGCUGUUAUCCUCCUCCGCUUAACACCCGCAUAUCUGAGAUUCUUCACUCUGCUGCUUCUGAGGUCUCUGAUAGAGCAGGAAUGAGAUAUGAAAGGAG